UCGCCAUAAUUUUUAUCCGUGUACUAUUCUGUGUAGUUUUCUUCACGUCCGCGUCGUAUAUUUGGUGCAUGUUAAACUCGCCUAAAAUGAAAGGAAGGAUGACGGCUAAAACACAGUUAAAUUAAUGAUGUAUGACAAAACAAGUCAAUAUUAAAUAUUUUCUUUGCAUGUCGUCCUCUUGUUUCGUUAUUUGUCAGUGGCGAGCAGAUUUAUUUGCCGAUUAUUUAUUUGCAGUUAUUUGCCGAUGCAGAAGUUAGAGGCAAAUGAAUUAUCUGCGAGCCACUCACAAAUUAUGAUAUUUUG
rnacentral:lncRNA from 1 species